AUUGAACGCUGGCGGCAGGCUUAACACAUGCAAGUCGAACGAGUGGCGGACGGGUGAGUAAUGCCUGGGAACCUGCCUUAUGGAGGGGGAUAACUACCGGAAACGGUAGCUAAUACCGCCUACCAUCGGAUGUGCCCAUGUGGGAUUAGCUAGUUGGUGGGGUAACGGCUUACCAAGGCGACGAUCCCUAGCUGGUCUGAGAGGAUGACCAGCCACACUGGGACUGAGACACGGCCCAGACUCCUACGGGAGGCAGCAGUGGGGAAUAUUGCACAAUGGGCGCAAGCCUGAUGCAGCCAUGCCGCGUGUAUGAAGAAGGCCUUCGGGUUGUAAAGUACUUUCAGUGGGGAGGCGUUACCAGCAGAAGAAGCACCGGCUAACUCCGUGCCAGCAGCCGCGGUAAUAC
rnacentral:rRNA from 1 species